ensembl:lncRNA
AAGGAGCGCUGGGAGCGCGAGUGCCAGGCCCGGGAGAGCCAGCAGGGGGAGCAGGAGAGCAGGCUGGAGGAGCGGGAGCGGCAGUGCCACCUGGAGACGGAGAGGCUGAGGCGAGAGCGCCAGGAGCUGGACGAGCAGCUGGAGGAGUACCAGCAGAGCCUGGAGCGGCUCCGGGAGGGCCAGAGGAACGUGGAGAGGGAGCGCGAGCGCCUGGAGAACCAGCGGGAGCUGCUCCAGGCGUGGCGGCGCUGCCGGCAGAGGAGUCUGCCCAACGUGAUUCCGCACAUGGUCAUCCCUCUAGAUGGGCGUCAGGACCCGGCGGCGAGUCGGCCCCGAGGCCUCGCCGGCAACGGCUCCGCGUUCGUGAACGAGGCGGCGUUCGCCGACGCCAGCGUCAACAACCGCCACGGCAAGAACGACCCCGACGCGCACAACUGCCUCAACGCCCUGCUGGCGAGACCCGGCAGCAGACGCAGCGCCGGCGCGAAGACCCCCCGCGGCACGCACGGCGACCCCCGGGGCUGGGUGGUGGGGACGGGGUACCUCUGCGGCGCCGCGCGGCGGCUGGAGCUGCAGGACGCGCCCGCCGAUCUUAACCGUGCCGCCGCCUACAUCGCGGGGAGCUGGUCGACGACAAGCGGCGCCGACUCGCCUCCCGCGCUGCCCGGUGCCCGUGACCCCCGCCUGGACCUCAGCGCGCUGGUUUCCUUGGAGACGGACGGCGGCGGCGGCGGGGAGGAGGCCGGCGAGGAGACCAUUGUGUACCUCUGAGACUCUUUAAGUAGCCAACCCUGCACUCGGAAACCAGACCAAGACAUUCGUCAAGCGCCAGGAUCGGAUGGAGAGUUUUCUCCUUUUAAAAUGAUUAUUUUUUUAUAUUUAAGCGGUGGCUUUGUGGUGUUUUUGUAAGCGUAAAGUGCCUGGAAAGAGAGAAAAUGAC